UACGUAGGGGGCAAGCGUUAUCCGGAUUCACUGGGUGUAAAGGGAGCGUAGACGGCGACGCAAGUCUGGAGUGAAAGCCCGGGGCCCAACCCCGGGACUGCUCUGGAAACUGCGGCGCUGGAGUACGGGAGGGGCAGGCGGAAUUCCUGGUGUAGCGGUGAAAUGCGUAGAUAUCAGGAGGAACACCGGCGGCGAAGGCGGCCUGCUGGACCGUGACUGACGUUGAGGCUCGAGAGCGUGGGGAGCAGACAGG
rnacentral:rRNA from 1 species